rnacentral:rRNA from 1 species
AUUGAACGCUGGCGGCAGGCCUAACACAUGCAAGUCGAGCGGGGUUUUCGGACCUAGCGGCGGACGGGUGAGUAAUGCGUAGGAAGCUACCCGAUAGAGGGGGAUACCAGUUGGAAACGACUGUUAAUACCGCAUAAUGUCUACGGACCAAAGUGUGGGACCUUCGGGCCACAUGCUAUCGGAUGCGCCUACGUGGGAUUAGCUAGUUGGUGAGGUAAUGGCUCACCAAGGCGACGAUCCCUAGCUGGUCUGAGAGGAUGAUCAGCCACACUGGAACUGAGACACGGCCCAGACUCCUACGGGAGGCAGCAGUGGGGAAUAUUGGACAAUGGGCGCAAGCCUGAUCCAGCCAUGCCGCGUGUGUGAAGAAGGCCUUCGGGUUGUAAAGCACUUUCAGUAGGGAGGAAGGGUUAAGUGUUAAUAGUACUUAACUUUGACGUUACCUACAGAAGAAGCACCGGCUAACUCUGUGCCAGCAGCCGCCGUAACAC